UACGGGGGGGGCAAGCGUUGUUCGGAAUUACUGGGCGUAAAGGGCUCGUAGGCGGCCAACUAAGUCAAACGUGAAAUCCCUCGGCUUAACCGGGGAACUGCGCUUGAUACUGGAUGGCUUGAGAUUGGGAGAGGGAUGCGGAAUUCCAGGUGUAGCGGUGAAAUGCGUAGAUAUCUGGAGGAACACCGGUGGCGAAGGCGGCAUCCUGGACUCUGACUGACGUUGAGGCGCGAAAGCCAGGGGAGCGAACGGG
rnacentral:rRNA from 1 species